rnacentral:lncRNA from 1 species
CGUAAAUAAAAAAAAUUUCCUUAUUCUUCAACCACACAUUUUCCAUCAAUUUACUAUUUAAAAAUACAUUUUUACAUAAAAAAUAGCUACCAAAUACCCUUUAAAUAUCACUCUAACAAAAUCAAAUUAUUUGGCCAAAAUAAAAUUGAGUUUAAUAUAUACCCCCAACUUUCCAAAUUUAAAAUAUAGUAUAUAAAAUAAUUAAUUCUAGUAUGUGAAAAUUUUCGAGACUUAAUAGGGUCGUGAAAACACGCCAAAAAUCCUCAUCUUUUGCUAAGUAUCUCAGCUGUAAAGCCCACAUUUCAUCAAGCCUGCAGUAGCAGAAGAAUUAUCAGUGACUAGAAACCACUUUUAUUCAUCUUAAAUUACGACUCCCAAGCCUAGUUGUGUUUAGUAAGUGGAAACUCAGCUGAGAAAAUUAUUUACAUCCGAGACACAUAGAGUUCUUGUAAGUAAGUUAUGUACUUUUUACUUGAAGAAGCAGCAAACAAGCUGAGGGUUUUCCAGUUCUUCAACUAUAACAGAUCAGACAAAUAGAAGAAAAAAUUGGGAUUAUGGAAAAUCUUGUCUGGGAUACAGAGAAAGGGGUGCCAAUCAGUUUUGAAUGGAAAAUCAAAGUAGUUUUUGAAGGAAAAGUUGCAGUUACAUUGGUAGAAGUUCCAAAGCAUCGUCCAAAUGAAACUAGUUUUAGCAUUCAGACCAAAAUGUGAACACAAAGCUUCAACAAGAUCCAAGACUCCUUUUGUUAGCCAAGCAAUCAUAAUUUUGUUAAUCGAGAAAAACACAACUCACGAUUUCCAAAUAAAACAUUUUUAUGUCAAAAUCCUUAGCAUCAUAGGAGUGAAAUUUACUAUUAACUAAUCAACCAAUCAGCAAUUCAAAUUCAACUGAAGAAGUUCAACUGCUUCAUCAUAUUCAAAAUUCAUGGAUAAUAACUUGUUCCUCAUAGCAAUCAAUUGAUUAUAAAAGGUAUUGAAAACGUCCAUGAACUUUUUCUUGAGAAAUAGUAAAUAUCCUUCUACAAAUCCUCAUAAAUAGAAACUAAGAAAAGAAAAUACUAGACAAAACUUCUAGAUUCAGAGGUUUAACUGAAAAUACCCAAAUUGCCGAAAGAAAUUCCUAGUAAAAAUAAAGAAAUCAACAAAAUCAUCCUUUCUCUUAUAUAAUAAAAUAUGUACGCACACUUGUAAUUGUUUUCCUUGCCCACAGAUAACAACAUUCUCACUUCUUCAAUAAAUCCCAAAAGAAAAUAAAUUAAAACGAAAUGCAUGUCAGCAGAGGGUGAAAACACAAUAAUCAACCCAUUUAAAAGAUCGAAGUUAUCCAAUCAAAUAACAAAUUGAUAUAUAAACCUGAAUUAGUCCAUUAAUCACAAGUUGAUUAAGGAAACUCAAAAUUAACACAUCUGUUAACAUAUUUAUUCAUGAAAAUCGAACUCCAUAUCCAAGAAAAAGAUUUACGCAGAGGCAGAGAGACCAAGCUGUGGGUUCUCAGAGAGGGGCUGAAAGGAGAAUCUCCCGGUCCAUGGGAAUUGCUUCUGGUGAUUCUCCGAUCACGAGAAGAGAAUAAAAGAAGAAAAACAAUUCUAUUUCUACUUGAAUAGAACUUACAACGGAGUUUACAAACUCAAAAAAAACCUCUCAAAAGAGUCUCUGUAAUCUCUCUUUUUUUCACUCUUCUCUAUAUUAUUUUUC